AUUCUAAUCUCUUAAGAAAAGGGACAUAGUAACGUUAAAGAGUUCAGCCAAGAUUCCUAAUUCUUUCAAAAUGUUAUUUCUAUUCUCCUAGGGAAAGAGUUCAACAAAGAUCAUUCUCCAAAAUCUCCUUACAUAGCAACGUAUUGAUAAGUGCUUUAAGGAAAAGUUUCGGCCAAGAUUUUCUUUGCAUAGCAACGUGAUUACUUCGAGCUUUUCAUAUAGCUUGUUUUGUGUUUUAUCGCAAUUAACGUGUGUUAGAGGAUUGUCAAGAAAAUCGAUUCAGGUAUGUUAAGACUAUCCCUUCUUUCUUUUGACAUGAUCUAUACGACACGUACAAAAUGAGCAAAUGCACAACUUUCAUAAAUGACUCUAUUCAUAGAAAUAUUAGGGGUGUCUAUAUUCUUGAUUCCCCACGUGAAUUAUUAUUAUAUCUUCUGUUUAUGGGUCUUAGAAAAAUACGUAUUUGAUAAAAUUUAUCCGACAUGCAUAUUCUUUUUAUGACAUUAUGAGAAAAUCGUAUUAACGUAUUUCUUAUGCAUUUCAUACAUUUAUACAUGUACAUUGACCCAUGACCAGAUGGCGUUAUAUACUCGUAUAUAUAUGUAUAUGGGAUAUGGGAAAAGGUUACGGCGUUAUAUACGCACCACCACCUGAUCAACUGGUAUACGUUGAUGAUUUGCCCACAGUGGCCGAAAUGAUACGAUGGGAUGCCCUCAGANNNNNNNNNNNNNNNNNNNNNNNNNAUGGCAUUAUAUACGCACCACCACCUGAUCAGUUGGUACACGUUGAUGAUUUGCUCACAGUGGCCGAAAUGAUAAGAUGGGAUGCCCUCGGAGGCUUGAAGAUGUUAUGAACGCAUAUACCUAUGCAUGGUAUGACAUUUAUACGCAUAUGCAUGGCAUUAUAAAAAUGAAAUGAUUCACAGAGCUUUGCAGACGUACAUGUCGAGUCUUUUACUCUAUAUUUCUCUCAUGUCUAUUAUUUACUGAUUUUUAUUCCUUACAUACUCGGUACAUUAUUUGUACCGACGUCCCUUUUGCCUGGGGACACUGUGUUUCAUGCCCGUAGGUCUUGAUAGACGGGUCGAGAAUCCUCCAAGUAGGCGAUCAGCUCAGCGGAAGAUGCUGGUGCACUCCAUUUGCUCCGGAGUUGCUUGUUUGGUCAGUAUACCUUAGAUGUGUAUUGUUUGGUAUGGCGGGGCUCUGUCUCGACCUUUAUGAAAAUUAUGUAUUCUUAGAGGCUUAUAAACAGAUGUCAUAUAUAUGAAAGGUUGUAUGGCCUUGUCGGCCUAUGUUCAGUGUACGAGCGAUCGUUUUGGGUCUUAUAGGAC
rnacentral:lncRNA from 1 species